CGCUCCCAGCCCGCCCGCCGGCCGCGCCCUCGUGUCUGAGCUGCAGUUUCGGCGGCGCCCAGGUACUCGACCACUUCAGAUGGGGUUACAUCCUGAUAAACCACUAAUCCUGAAAAUUCUGCGUAUACGGGUCUGCACACA